GGGAGAAAUAAUAUAGCUGGGGGGAAAUAAUAUAGCUAGAGAGAAACAAUGUAGCUAGGGAGAAAUAAUGUAGCUAUGGAGAAAUAAUGUAGCUAUGGAGAAAUAAUAUAGCUAGGAGGAAAUAAUAUAGCUAGGGGGAAAUAAUAUAGCUAGGGAGAAAUAAUGUAGCUAGGGGAGAAAUAAUGUAGCUAUGGAGAAAUAAUAUAGCUAGGGAGAAAUAAUGUAGCUAGGGAGAAAUAAUGCAGCUAGGGGGAAAUAAUGUAGCUAGGGAGAAAUAAUGUAGCUAGGGAGAAAUAAUGUAGCUAGGGAGAAAUAAUAUAGGUAGGGGGAAAUAAUAUAGCUAGGGAGAAAUAAUAUAGCUAGGGAGAAAUAAUAUAGCUAGGGAGAAAUAAUAUUGCUAAGGGGAAAUCAUAUAGCUAGGGGGAAAUAAUAUAGCUAGGGAGAAAUAAUAUAGCUAAGGGGAAAUAAUAUAGCUAGGUAGAAAUAAUAUAGCUAAGGUGAAAUCAUAAAGCUAGGGGGAAAUAAUAUGGCUAGGGAGAAAUAAUAUAGCUAGGGAGAAAAAAUGUUGGUUCUGUUGGAGCUUGAGGAAGGAAGUGUUCUCUGAUUCGUUUUAUUUGACAGUGUUUCUAAAGUCAGCAAAAAAAGAAACGUCCUCUCACUGUCAACUGCGUUUAUUUUCAGCAAACUUAACAUGUGUAAAUAUUUGUAUGAACUGUGGCAAAGAAGGGGGUCGAGUGAUAAAUGGCAGAUAUGUGAGGGCAGAACUAAUAAACGGGCUCUGCCCGAUCACUAAAAUGGCCACCCCGAUCAGAACUACAGGUCACAAAAUGGCCGACUGCCAAAACUACAAUUCCCAGAAGCAAGGGGAACCCUCAGAAGGUGGAGCCGAC
rnacentral:lncRNA from 1 species